rnacentral:rRNA from 1 species
UACGGGGGGAGCAAGCGUUGUUCGGAUUUACUGGGCGUAAAGGGCGCGUAGGCGGCGCAACAAGUCACUUGUGAAAUCUCCGGGCUUAACCCGGAGCGGCCAAGUGAUACUGUCGUGCUAGAGUGCGGAAGGGGCUACUGGAAUUCUCGGUGUAGCGGUGAAAUGCGCAGAUAUCAGGAGGAACACCGGUGGCGAAGGCGGAUCUCUGGGCCAUUACUGACGCUGAGGAGCGAAAGCGUGGGGAGCGAACAGG